AUUGAACGCUGGCGGCAUGCUUUACACAUGCAAGUCGAACGGCAGCGCGGGCUUCGGCCUGGCGGCGAGUGGCGAAUGGGUGAGUAAUGCAUCGGAACGUGCCCAGUAGUGGGGGAUAGCCCGGCGAAAGCCGGAUUAAUACCGCAUACGACCUGAGGGUGAAAGCGGGGGACCGAAAGGCCUCGCGCUAUUGGAGCGGCCGAUGUCGGAUUAGCUAGUUGGUGGGGUAAAGGCUUACCAAGGCGACGAUCCGUAGCUGGUCUGAGACGACGACCAGCCACACUGGGACUGAGACACGGCCCAGACUCCUACGGGAGGCAGCAGUGGGGAAUUUUGGACAAUGGGGGCAACCCUGAUCCAGCCAUGCCGCGUGCGGGAAGAAGGCCUUCGGGUUGUAAACCGCUUUUGUUCGGGAAGAAAUCCUCUGGGCUAAUACCCCGGGGGGAUGACGGUACCGGAAGAAUAAGCACCGGCUAACUACGUG
rnacentral:rRNA from 1 species